CAUGUCUUUUUGAAUAUAAUUUAAAGUCUAGCCUGCCCUAUGAAUUGUUUUAAAUGGCUGCGGUAUUUUGACCGUGCAAAGGUAGCAUAAUAAUUAGUUUCUUAAUUAGGAACUGGUAUGAAUGGUUGGACGAGAAAAAUACUGUCUCAAUUUAAUUUUUAAUUAGAAUUUUAUUUUUAAGUUAAAAAGCUUAAAUGAUUUUAAAAGACGAGAAGACCCUAUAGAGUUUUAUAUUAAUAUUAAUAUAUAAAAAUUAAAGUAUUUUAAUUUUAUUUAUUUAAAUUAGUAUUUAAUUGGGGUGAUUGAAAAAUUUAAUUAACUUUUUUUAAUUUUUAAACAUUAAUGAAUGAAUAAUUGAUCCAUAUUUUUAUGAUUAUAAGAUUAAAUUACCUUAGGGAUAACAGCGUAAUUUUUUUUGAGAGUUCUUAUCGAAAAAGAAGUUUGCGACC
rnacentral:rRNA from 1 species